rnacentral:rRNA from 1 species
GUGUCAGCCGCCGCGGUAAUACAGAGGGUGCAAGCGUUAAUCGGAAUUACUGGGCGUAAAGGGCGCGUAGGCGGAUAAUCAAGCUGGAUGUGAAAGACCCGGGCUUAACCUGGGGGUGUCAUUCAUAACUGGUUAUCUAGAGUAUGGGAGAGGAGAGUGGAAUUCACAGUGUAGCGGUGAAAUGCGUAGAUAUUGUGAGGAACAUCGAUGGCGAAGGCAGCUCUCUGGCCUGAUACUGACGCUGAGGCGCGAAAGCAUGGGUAGCGAACAGGAUUAGAUACCCUGGUAGUCCAUGCUGUAAACGAUGAGAACUGGAUGUUGGUGCCUACGGGUACUGGUGUCGAAGCAAACGCGUUAAGUUCUCCGCCUGGGGAGUACGGUCGCAAGAUUAAAACUUAAAGGAAUUGGCGG